ensembl:lncRNA
GGUAAAUUUAGGGUAAGUGUAGGGUUAGGGAUAGGGUUAGGGUUAGGUUUAGGGUUUGGGUUACGGUUAGGUUCAGGGAUAGGGUUAGGGUUAUGGUUGGGGGUAGGGUUAGGGUUAAGGUUUUAUUUAGUGUUCUGUUUAGCUUUAUGGUUAGGGGUAGGUUAGUGUUAGAAUUAGAUUUAGGGUUACGCUUAGGGUCAGAUUAGGGUAUGGCUUACUGUUAGGGUUAUUGUUAUGGUUAGGGUUAUGGUUCGUGUAGGGUAGGCUUGAGGUUAUAGAAUAGGUUUGGGUUAGGUAAGGGUUAGGGCUACGUUUAAAGUUUUAUUUUUCUUUUGGGUUAGGGUUAGGGUUAAGUUUAGUGUUAAGGUUAGGUUUACGGUUAGGGUUAGGGUUAGGCUUAGUGUUAGGGUUAGCGUUAAAGCAUAUUUAGGGUAAGGGUCGGGUUACAGUUAGCGUUAGGGUUAGGGAUGGGAUUAGCAUAAGGGUUAGGGUUAGAGUUAGGCCUAGGGUAAGUUUAGGGUAAGGGUAGGUUUAGCGAUAGGGUUACGUUAGGGUUAGGUUUAGGGUUAGGGUUAGGGUUAGGGUUAGGGUUAGGGUUAGGGUUAGGGUUAGGGUUAGGGUUAGGGUUAGGGUUAGGGGUCGGGUUAGAGUUAGCGUUAGCGUUAGGGUUAGGAUUAGCGUUAGGGUUAGGGUUAGGGUUAGGCAUAGUGUAAGUUUUGUGUAAGGGUUAGGGUUAGGGUUAGGGUUAGGGUUAGGGUUAGGGUUAGGGUUAGGGUUAGGGUUAGGGUUAGGGUUAGGGUUAGGGUUAGGGUUAGGGUUAGGGUUAGGGUAAAUUUAGGGUAAGUGUAGGGUUAGGGAUAGGGUUAGGGUUAGGGUUAGGGUUAGGGUUAGGGUUAGGGUUAGGGUUAGGGUUAGGGUUAGG